rfam:Oryza glumipatula chromosome 3, whole genome shotgun sequence.
UUUAAACUUAAGUUUUCGUGUCCAACUUUAAUCGUCCGUCUUAUUAAUUUUUUUUAAAAAACAUAUAUUCAUAUUUUAUUAUCUAAUAACAACAACAAUAAUAAUCAUAAAAGAAUUUCAAAUAAAAUAGACGAUGAAAUUUGGACAUGAAAACUAAUAGCUACGUUUAAA